rnacentral:tRNA from 1 species
GGGCGAGUAGUCUAGCGGUUAUGACGUCGCCUUGACGUGGCGAAGGUCGCAGGUUCAAAUCCUGCUUCGCCCACCA